GACGAACGCUGGCGGCGUGCUUAACACAUGCAAGUCGAACGGAAAGGCCCUGCUUUUGUGGGGUGCUCGAGUGGCGAACGGGUGAGUAACACGUGAGUAACCUGCCCUUGACUUUGGGAUAACUUCAGGAAACUGGGGCUAAUACCGGAUAGGAGCUCCUGCUGCAUGGUGGGGGUUGGAAAGUUUCGGCGGUUGGGGAUGGACUCGCGGCUUAUCAGCUUGUUGGUGGGGUAGUGGCUUACCAAGGCUUUGACGGGUAGCCGGCCUGAGAGGGUGACCGGCCACCUUGGGACUGGGAUACGGCCCAGAAUCCUACGGGAGGCAGCAGUGGGGAAUAUUGCACAAUGGGCGGAAGCCUGAUGCAGCAACGCCGCGUGCGGGAUGACGGCCUUCGGGUUGUAAACCGCUUUCGCCUGUGACGAAGCGUGAGUGACGGUAAUGGGUAAAGAAGCACCGGCUAACUACGUG
rnacentral:rRNA from 1 species